GAGUCCCACCUACAGAACUUCUGGUUUAACUGUUAAUCCUCAUUUGAGAAGAUCUGAUGAUAUACGGUAAUUCAUUCUUAGAUGUAGCUGACGUAAGUAAGGAGAUAAAUUGUUGAUUUAACAUAUAGUUGGGGAAUCAUGUUUCAUGCUCUUUUAGUAAGCCCUAAUCAUGGUUCAUGCUAUUUGUGUUCAUCAGCAAUUUAAUUCAUGAUUAUAUUAAGAAUAUUUUUUACUAAUACGUAUAUCCUUAUUGUUUUCAAUGAUGAAUUAAUCCUUCGUUAUAAAGGAAAAUCAUGUUGCUUUU
rnacentral:lncRNA from 1 species